AGUAACGUGAGAGUAAAAUUUCCUCCAAUAUUGUACGUUAAGCAACACGCAUAGUAAAGGUUAUAGACAGAAAACCCAAAUGGCAUUCUAGAAAGUUUUAAAGUGUCAUUCAUUGCUAAGUCAUUGGUAUCUACAAAAUUGGCAAAAUGAAUAGAAAGAUUCAAAAGAUGUUAGAACUGAGUAAUUGUUUGCAGACAAUCAAUGGCGCCAUGAUUUGGAGAUGCACAUAUUGACAGAGCUCUGAAAUUUAUGUGUGUGUGAAUGACAAUUACAUUUUAGUAACUAAUAUUUUUCUAAAUGAAGAUGCUUUCUUUUUCUUGAUAGUUAUUUGAUACAAUUUAUUAGAUUUUAUACUUUAAAUGCUUAAUAAUAUUUGUGAUCAUAAAUAACAGCAAUUAGUAAUUAUGUAAUAUCUUAGUAGUAAUGAACCAUACAAAGGUAUAAAUGGAUAUCAAGGAACAUAUCUGAAGCAAACCUCUCAUAAAUUUGAAUUUUUUGAUUUUAUUAUCUGGGUUGAGAGAAUAAAGCUGGAAUCUAAAUAAAAUUAA